UAGGAGCUUUUUAUCCAGUUUCUUGUCCGCAGCCUCUACCCCAGGCUGGGUGCCCAGGCGGUCUCCGGAGAGGAGGGGGGAGGAGGAGGAGGAGGAGGAGGAGGAGGAGGAGGAGGAGGAGGAGGGGGGGGGGAGGAGGAGGAGAGGGGGUAGGAAGGAAGAGGAGGGAGCCGAGGAAGACGCGGAGCCUCCACCCGCCAGCCGGGAGCACUUGCAGCAGGUGCAGGAGGCUGGGCCCCGGGUUUGCACUCUGCGGCGGUGCCUGGGCCUCAGGAAGCCGACCCGGGAAGACCCGCCAGCCCGAAAAAAGUGAGCUGGAGAGAGGAAUAGAAGCGCCGGUUUCUGCUUAUUAUUCGCUGUUUCUGAUGGCCAAGAGCAAGGGGCAGUCAAGGCCAUUAAUGCAGAACUGGAAUUCAGCGAGGAGCGCCUCUUCUGCAGACUGCCCCCCGCUAGGGCGCGGGGAGGGCACCGGUUCCUCUGCGCGGAAAGGAGGGGGAGAAAGUCGCUAAGAGAAAAAUCCGGUGUGGCCCAGAUCUCCGGGUGCACAUUCCCGGGAGAGGAGCGCGCCGUUUCCAGCGCGGUGCAGCGCUCCGAGCGGCGGCCACCAGCGACCCAGCGCGCGAGCACAACGCGACCCACGAAGGGGGCUCGCGGGAGGCACCAAGAAGCACCGGCGCAUCAGAGCGGAGAACCCGCAGCCGAACCUUGCCGGGGCGCACCCAGCACCGGGGCGGGGGCCAGGACUUCGCUUCCACCGCAUGGGAUGAGCUGUGCAAGGUGGAGGAAGGCGGCGCAGAGCCGGGGGACGAAGCCCGGACCGGACAGGAAUCCCGGGGAGAAAGAAGGGGGCCCCAGCCUGGCCAGGAGGGGCAUUUUUGUCAGAGGGGGUAUUGGGGGAGUCCCUGAGCGCCGCGGGUUCCAGGGGGGCAGCGCGGACGCCCAUUCCCUGUUCUCCCCCGAGAGAAGCCGUUCCCGUGGGGCAGGAAGGGCUCUCAGCUCUUUGAGAUUGAGAUUCACAGGAAUCUAA
rnacentral:lncRNA from 1 species